CCCAGUAGGUAUUAACUAGAGAAACCUUUACCCAGUAGGUAUUAACUAGAUAAUGACCAGUAGGUAUUAACUAGGGAAACCUUUACCCAGUAGGUAUUAACUAGAGAAACCUUUACCCAGUAGGUAUUAACUAGAUAAUGACCAGUAGGUAUUAACUAGGGAAACCUUUACCCAGUAGGUAUUAACUAGGGAAACCUUUACCCAGUAGGUAUUAACUAGAGAAUGACCAGUAGGUAUUAAUUAACUAGGGAAACCUUUACCCAGUAGGUAUUAACUAGAUAAUGACCAGUAGGUAUUAACUAGGGAAACCUUUACCCAGUAGGUAUUAACUAGGGAAACCUUUACCCAGUAGGUAUUAACUAGAGAAUGACCAGUAGGUAUUAAUUAACUAGGGAAACCUUUACCCAGUAGGUAUUAACUAGAUAAUGACCAGUAGGUAUUAACUAGGGAAACCUUUACCCAGUAGGUAUUAACUAGAGAAUGACCAGUAGGUAUUAAUUAACUAGGGAAACCUUUACCCAGUAGGUAUUAACUAGAUAAUGA